GAUGAACGCUGGCGGCGUGCUUAACACAUGCAAGUCGAACGAAGCACUUAAAUUUGAUUCUUCGGAUGAAGAUUUUUGUGACUGAGUGGCGGACGGGUGAGUAACGCGUGGGUAACCUGCCUCAUACAGGGGGAUAACAGUUAGAAAUGACUGCUAAUACCGCAUAAGACCACAGAGCCGCAUGGCUCGGGGGUCAAAGGAGAAAUCCGCUGAAGGAUGGCCUCGCGUCCGAUUAGCUAGUUGGCGGGGUAACGGCCCACCAAGGCGACGAUCGGUAGCCGGACUGAGAGGUUGAUCGGCCACAUUGGGACUGAGACACGGCCCAG
rnacentral:rRNA from 1 species